GCGAGACCCCAUCUCCAGCCGGGAGCCAUGCCUCCUCUCCUUUGGCCUUGUUUGUCUCCCAGAAAACGAGAGAAGGAUCUUGUCGGUCUUCUGAACUGUUGAACCCUCACACCCAUGUUUGCCAGGUCUUGCAGCCAUCAACUUCCCCAGAACCCUGAUGUGUGCAGGGUCCAGGACUGUUCAGAAGGAACGGCUGCUACUCAAGAUAGAGCCAGCAGUUAAAGGAAAUCACCAUGUGACGGCAAUUGUGAGAUACCAAUGAAGGAAGAGAUGCAG
rnacentral:lncRNA from 10 species